ACGCUGGCGGCGUGCCUAAUACAUGCAAGUCGAGCGAGCGGAACUAACAGAUUUACUUCGGUAAUGACGUUAGGAAAGCGAGCGGCGGAUGGGUGAGUAACACGUGGGGAACCUGCCCCAUAGUCUGGGAUACCACUUGGAAACAGGUGCUAAUACCGGAUAAGAAAGCAGAUCGCAUGAUCAGCUUUUAAAAGGCGGCGUAAGCUGUCGCUAUGGGAUGGCCCCGCGGUGCAUUAGCUAGUUGGUAAGGUAAAGGCUUACCAAGGCGAUGAUGCAUAGCCGAGUUGAGAGACUGAUCGGCCACAUUGGGACUGAGACACGGCCCAAACUCCUACGGGAGGCAGCAGUAGGGAAUCUUCCACAAUGGACGAAAGUCUGAUGGAGCAACGCCGCGUGAGUGAAGAAGGUUUUCGGAUCGUAAAGCUCUGUUGUUGGUGAAGAAGGAUAGAGGUAGUAACUGGCCUUUAUUUGACGGUAAUCAACCAGAAAGUCACGGCUAACUACGUGCCAGCAGCCGCGGUAAUACGUAGGUGGCAAGCGUUGUCCGGAUUUAUUGGGCGUAAAGCGAGCGCAGGCGGAAGAAUAAGUCUGAUGUGAAAGCCCUCGGCUUAACCGAGGAACUGCAUCGGAAACUGUUUUUCUUGAGUGCAGAAGAGGAGAGUGGAACUCCAUGUGUAGCGGUGGAAUGCGUAGAUAUAUGGAAGAACACCAGUGGCGAAGGCGGCUCUCUGGUCUGCAACUGACGCUGAGGCUCGAAAGCAUGGGUAGCGAACAGGAUUAGAUACCCUGGUAGUCCAUGCCGUAAACGAUGAGUGCUAAGUGUUGGGAGGUUUCCGCCUCUCAGUGCUGCAGCUAACGCAUUAAGCACUCCGCCUGGGGAGUACGACCGCAAGGUUGAAACUCAAAGGAAUUGACGGGGGCCCGCACAAGCGGUGGAGCAUGUGGUUUAAUUCGAAGCAACGCGAAGAACCUUACCAGGUCUUGACAUCUAGUGCCAUUUGUAGAGAUACAAAGUUCCCUUCGGGGACGCUAAGACAGGUGGUGCAUGGCUGUCGUCAGCUCGUGUCGUGAGAUGUUGGGUUAAGUCCCGCAACGAGCGCAACCCUUGUUAUUAGUUGCCAGCAUUAAGUUGGGCACUCUAAUGAGACUGCCGGUGACAAACCGGAGGAAGGUGGGGAUGACGUCAAGUCAUCAUGCCCCUUAUGACCUGGGCUACACACGUGCUACAAUGGGCAGUACAACGAGAAGCGAGCCUGCGAAGGCAAGCGAAUCUCUGAAAGCUGUUCUCAGUUCGGACUGCAGUCUGCAACUCGACUGCACGAAGCUGGAAUCGCUAGUAAUCGCGGAUCAGCACGCCGCGGUGAAUACGUUCCCGGGCCUUGUACACACCGCCCGUCACACCAUGGGAGUCUGCAAUGCCCAAAGCCGGUGGCCUAACCUUCGGGAAGGAGC
rnacentral:rRNA from 1 species